rnacentral:lncRNA from 1 species
UCGCAAUUCAAUUUUAAGCCUCCCCAAACCCAUAUCGGGGCUGGAAAACCAAAAGAGAAGCUAGACAUUGAGGGUAGAGCUCAGCCGAGCUGCCGCACCUGCGACCCAAAACCCCUUCAGUGAGGUGAGUUUUUUCUCCCCUUUCGAUUUGCAAUUCAAUUCUAAGCCUCCCCAAACCCAUAUUGGCGCUGAAAAACCAAAAGAGAAGCCAGACAUUGACGGCAGAGCUCGGCCGAGCUGCCACACCUGCGAUCCAAAACCCCUCCGGUGAGCUCGAAUCCUCUU